CGCCGUGACCCCUGGCCCUGCCUCCAGGCACGCCGCCUGCGGGUCCUCGGGGGAGCCAUGGACUACACAGGAAUGCUCAAGUGCUGCUCGCCCCACCCCCUGAACUUUCUCAUGUUCCUGUCCCUCCUGGUCUUCUUCUGCACGGGGGUCCUCAGCCCAAGA